GCGUUUUAACUGUAGCCACUUACCAGAAAACUAAAGAAACGUUUGGAAAUGUGAAUAUUUUGAUAAAUAAUGCAGGAAUUGGAGAAGGAAAAGUCGUAGACGUUAACCUGAAUGGAGUUAUAAAUGGCUGCUUUAUUGCGUAUCAAUAUAUGGGAAAA